UCGCGAGAUGGAGCGAAUCCUUAGAAGCCGGUCUCAGUUCGGAUUGCAGGCUGCAACUCGCCUGCAUGAAGUCGGAAUUGCUAGUAAUCGCGGAUCAGCAUGCCGCGGUGAAUACGUUCCCGGGUCUUGUACACACCGCCCGUCACACCACGAGAGUUUACAACACCCGAAGUCGGUGGGGUAACCCGCAAGGGAGCCAGCCGCCGAAGGUGGGGUAGAUGAUUGGGGUGAAGUCGUAACAAGGUAGCCGUAUCGGAAGGUGCGGCUGGAUCACCUCCUUUCUAUGGAG
rnacentral:rRNA from 1 species